rnacentral:rRNA from 1 species
GACGAACGCUGGCGGCGUGCUUAACACAUGCAAGUCGAACGGAAAGGCCCUGCUCUUGCGGGGUGCUCGAGUGGCGAACGGGUGAGUAACACGUGAGUAACCUGCCCCUGACUUUGGGAUAACUUCAGGAAACUGGGGCUAAUAUCGGAUAGGAGCUCCUGCUGCACGGGGGGGGUUGGAAAGAUUCGGCGGUUGGGGAUGGACUCGCGGGUUAUCAGCUGGUUGGUGGGGUAGUGGCUUACCAAGGCUUUGACGGGUAGCCGGCCUGGGAGGGUGACCGGCCACAUUGGGCCUGAGGUACGGCCCAGACUCCUACGGGCGGCAGCAGUGGAGAAUAUUGCACAAUGGGCGGAAGCCUGAUACGGCAGCGCCGCGUGCGGGAUGACGGCCUUCGAGUUAUAAACCGCUUUAGCCUGUGACGAAGCGUGAGUGACGGUAAUGGGUAAGGAAGCACCGGCUAACUACGUG